CAACCUACGGGAGGCAGCAGUAGGGAAUCUUCCACAAUGGACGAAAGUCUGAUGGAGCAACGCCGCGUGAGUGAAGAAGGGUUUCGGCUCGGAAAGCGCUGUUGGUAGUGAAGAAAGAUAGAGGUAGUAACUGGCCUUUAUUUGACGGUAAUUACUUAGAAAGUCAAGGCUAACUAAGUGCCAGCAGCCGCGGGAAUACGUAGGUGGCAAGCGUUGUCCGGAUUUAUUGGGCGUAAAGCGAGUGCAGGCGGGCCAAUAAGGCUGAUGUGAAAACCUUCGGCGCAACC
rnacentral:rRNA from 1 species